rnacentral:rRNA from 1 species
UACGUAGGGUGCAAGCGUUGUCCGGAAUUAUUGGGCGUAAAGAGCUCGUAGGCAGUCUGUCGCGUCGGCUGUGAAAACUUGGGGCUCAACCCCAAGCCUGCAGUCGAUACGGGCAGACUAGAGGUAGGUAGGGGAGAAUGGAAUUCCCGGUGUAGCGGUGAAAUGCGCAGAUAUCGGGAGGAACACCGGUGGCGAAGGCGGUUCUCUGGGCCUUACCUGACGCUGAGGAGCGAAAGCGUGGGGAGCGAACAGG